CUUAUACUCCCACCAUCCCAAAAUUUUUGUCUUUGAUUUGUCUAAAUACGGAUGUAUCUAGUUACAUUUUAGUGUCAGAUACAUCCGUAUCUAGACAAAUAUAAGACAUGAAUUUUGGUACGGAGGGAGUAUUUA
rnacentral:pre_miRNA from 1 species